AAAUUGAAGAGUUUGAUCAUGGCUCAGAUUGAACGCUGGCGGCAGGCCUAACACAUGCAAGUCGAACGGUAACAGGAAGCAGCUUGCUGCUUUGCUGACGAGUGGCGGACGGGUGAGUAAUGUCUGGGAAACUGCCUGAUGGAGGGGGAUAACUACUGGAAACGGUAGCUAAUACCGCAUAACGUCGCAAGACCAAAGAGGGGGACCUUCGGGCCUCUUGCCAUCGGAUGUGCCCAGAUGGGAUUAGCUUGUUGGUGGGGUAACGGCUCACCAAGGCGACGAUCCCUAGCUGGUCUGAGAGGAUGGCCAGCCACACUGGAACUGAGACACGGUCCAGACUCCUACGGGAGGCAGCAGUGGGGAAUAUUGCACAAUGGGCGCAAGCCUGAUGCAGCCAUGCCGCGUGUAUGAAGAAGGCCUUCGGGUUGUAAAGUACUUUCAGCGGGGAGGAAGGGAGUAAAGUUAAUACCUUU
rnacentral:rRNA from 1 species